GCGCCCAUAGCUCAAUGGAUAGAGCGCCGGCCUGCGAAGCCGUAGAUUCGAGUUCGAUUCUCGAUGGGCGCA
rnacentral:tRNA from 1 species